AAGGCUAGGUGGGCCAGGCGACGGUUGUCCUGGUUCAAGUGCGUAGGCUUGAGAGUUAGGUAAAUCCGGCUCUCUCUAAGGCUGAGACACGACGUCGAGCUGCUACGGCAGUGAAGUCAUUGAUGCCAUGCUUCCAGGAAAAGCCUCUAAGCUUCAGAUAGUCAGGAAUCGUACCCCAAACCGACACAGGUGGUCGGGUAGAGAAUACCAAGGCGCUUGAGAGAACUCGGGUGAAGGAACUAGGCAAAAUGGUACCGUAACUU
rnacentral:rRNA from 1 species